rnacentral:rRNA from 1 species
AGAACGAACGCUGGCGGCGUGCUUAACACAUGCAAGUCCAACGUGAAAGGGGAGCAAUCCCCCGGUAAGGUGGCGAACGGGUGAGUAAGACAUGGGAAAUCUGCCUGGGAGAUGGGGAUAUCCUUCCGAAAGGAGGGGCAAUACCGAAUAUUGUCCGGAGCCGUGAAGGGUUCCGGGGAAAGGGAGGCCUCUGACACAAGCUUUCGCCUUAAGAUGAGCCCAUGGCCCAUCAGCUAGUUGGUAGGGUAAAGGCCUACCAAGGCUACGACGGGUCGCUGGUCUGAGAGGACGACCAGCCACACUGGCACUGAGAUACGGGCCAGACUCCUACGGGAGGCAGC